rnacentral:rRNA from 1 species
CGGGUGAGUAAUACAUCGGAACGUGUCUUCUAGUGGGGGAUAACUGCCCGAAAGGGCAGCUAAUACCGCAUGAGACCUGAGGGUGAAAGCGGGGGAUCGCAAGACCUCGCGCUGGAAGAGCGGCCGAUGUCCGAUUAGCUAGUUGGUGAGGUAAAGGCUCACCAAGGCGACGAUCGGUGGCUGGUCUGAGAGGACGACCAGCCACACUGGGACUGAGACACGGCCCAG